UGCUUAACGUACAUUUGUUUCUGUAUUUAGAUUAAAUUCAGAAAGAUAUGAACGGUAUCGCUAUUUUACGUCUAUGGACAUAUUUUAAGUGUACAACUAAACAUAAUAUUAUUAUUUAUUAACUUGCUUGGUACUCGUUUAUAAUAUAUUAAAGAUGGCGGAGCUUGCACAACGGUUAACUGCUAUUUUAAUAAUGCUCUACAGUGUGGAUAUUACCAAGACAGGGAACGUUUAAAAUGGAUAACGACAGUAUUCGUGUAAACCGGCCUUGGUGACGUCGUGGUUUAGCCAUCGGGCAUAAAGAUGGUUCGCAGCCCGGUACCGGAUCCCACCCAGAGCAAGUUUAACGACUAAAUGGCCAAUGCACAACGACUGGUAUAUCAAAGGCCAUGGUAUGUACUACCCUGUCUGUUGGAUG